CGGCCGCCUGACGCGGGUGGUCGAUCGUCGGAGCGGGGCGGAAGGGGCGCAGUCGGGGAGAUCGGGGGUCACGGGAGCCGCCGGACCUGACGCGUGAUGGACAGGCCGGGAGCGGCGGCGUCGGGCUGCGAAAGCGCUGCGGGCCCCGGGCCGGGACCGGGCGCCAGCUGGAGACCCGCUCGUGUUGCGGGGGGCGCUUCCGGCAGUUCCCGACACCCCAGCAUGGAGACCCUGGACAGCCCCGCAGGGUCGCACGUGGAGUGGUGCAAGCAGCUCAUCGCGGCCACGAUCUCCACACAGAUGUCAGGCUCGGUGACGUCAGAAAACGUGUCCAGGGAUUACAAGAGAAAUAUAUUUUAAAGAACAAAAGCAUGAAGUCAUCCUAAAGCACACAGACUGGUAUACGCACAACAUGGAAACUUGGAGCGACCAUUUUGGGCCUCGGGCAUAGAAGCCAAAAGGUCUAGGAUCGAAGUUCCAGCCGUUACUAGAAAAGACUUAUUUGUAAAAUUAAUUAUUAAUUAGUAAUUAAUAAUACUAAUUAUCGUGUGAAUUCCCUCCUCAAGACGCACACAGAUGAGAUGGAAUUGCGGAAUGACAGGUACUUGCCAGGCAUUGCCGUAGCUGAGUGGGCAGGCGGGUAGGACUAGUUAAUCCGUGCUCACUUUAUUAUUACUUGCUAUUAACUACCAACCCAUCCUAAUAUUAACUUGCUAAUGAACAUCGUUAAAAGAAACGCGAGAAUUUUUUUUUCCCCUUUCGUUUACCCUCCCCUCGCCAACUCAGUUGCAUUCAUUGAACCAGGCCAAUGUAUAGGAAAAAAAAUCUUGGGGUCGUUUUAUGAAUAAGAUCAAAAUACGUUGUAUGAAGUUCCCGAAGGAUUAAUAAAGACGUCAUUUUUAAAAUUCUUGCCC
rnacentral:lncRNA from 1 species